CAUUGGGUUUAAAGGGUGCGCAGGCGGAUUGGUAAGUCAGGGGUGAAAUCCCACAGCUCAACUGUGGAACUGCCCUUUGAUACUGUCAGUCUAGAGUAUAGUUGAAGUUGGCGGAAUGUGUCAUGUAGCGGUGAAAUGCUUAGAUAUGACACAGAACACCGAUCGCGAAGGCAGCUAGCUAAGCUAUAACUGACGCUCAUGCACGAAAGCGUGGGGAUCAAACAGGAUUAGAUACCCUGGUAGUCCACGCUGUAAACGAUGAUUACUCGAUGUUGGCGAUACACAGUCAGCGUCUGAGCGAAAGCAAUAAGUAAUCCACCUGGGGAGUACGAUCGCAAGAUUGAAACUCAAAGGAAUUGACGGGGGCCCGCACAAGCGGAGGAGCAUGUGGUUUAAUUCGAUGAUACGCGAGGAACCUUACCUGGGCUCGAACGUAAGAUGACUGUAGGUGAAAGCUUACAUCUCUUCGGAGCAUUUUACGAGGUGCUGCAUGGUUGUCGUCAGCUCGUGCCGUGAGGUGUCGGGUUAAGUCCCAUAACGAGCGCAACCCCUACCUUUAGUUGCCAUCAGGUCAUGCUGGGGACUCUAAAGGAACUGCCUACGCAAGUAGUGAGGAAGGCGGGGAUGACGUCAAAUCAGCACGGCCCUUACGUCCAGGGCUACACACGUGCUACAAUGGCCGAUACAGAGGGCAGCUACCUGGUGACAGGAUGCAAAUCUCCAAAGUCGGUCUCAGUUCGGAUCGGAGUCUGCAACCCGACUCCGUGAAGUUGGAUUCGCUAGUAAUCGCGCAUCAGCCAUGGCGCGGUGAAUACGUUCCCGGGCCUUGUACACACCGCCCGUCAAGCCAUGGAAGCUGGGGGGACCUAAAGUCGAUAACCGCAAGGAGUCGCCUAGGGUAAAACCAGUGACUGGGGCUAAGUCGUAACAAGGUAGCCG
rnacentral:rRNA from 1 species